rnacentral:sRNA from 1 species
AUUGAUGGAUUUUAAUAGAAUUGAAAUUCAACAAUAAUGUACUGUUAUUCAUCUAAUGAUUCUAAAUCCAGCUUUAAAAUCUAGUGUUACUGGAGCUUAUCUUUUUAAAUCAUGCUUAAUAGAUUUUAAAGUUUGUUGUUAUUCAAUUAAGAUUUUAAAUAGUUUAUUAAAAUUCAGUGUUAUUCAAAACUAAAAGACUUGUAAAAUAUUUGUAUAUUAAUUUAUUUGAAAUGAAACACUUUUGGAGUUUCAUGAGUAAAUCAUUAGAAUCAAAAUCCAAGAUAUACUCCAGAGAUUUUGAAAUCCAAGCAAACAUAUUCUUAAAAGCAAUAUGCCAAUAUCAGGAAGUCAAUCAUCUAAACUUUAAAUAAUAGAUUUUAACUCCAUAAUUGAAUAACACCACCUAAAUAUAUUAACCUUCUCAAGUCCUUAGCUUGGAUCAUAACACAUUGGCAU